AGUGAACGCUGGCGGUAGGCCUAACACAUGCAAGUCGAACGGCAGCACAGUAAGAGCUUGCUCUUACGGGUGGCGAGUGGCGGACGGGUGAGGAAUACAUCGGAAUCUACUUUUUCGUGGGGGAUAACGUAGGGAAACUUACGCUAAUACCGCAUACGACCUACGGGUGAAAGCAGGGGAUCUUCGGACCUUGCGCGAUUGAAUGAGCCGAUGUCGGAUUAGCUAGUUGGCGGGGUAAAGGCCCGCCAAGGCGACGAUCCGUAGCUGGUCUGAGAGGAUGAUCAGCCACACUGGAACUGAGACACGGUCCAGACUCCUACGGGAGGCAGCAGUGGGGAAUAUUGGACAAUGGGCGCAAGCCUGAUUCAGCCAUACCGCGUGGGUGAAGAAGGCCUUCGGGUUGUAAAGCCCUUUUGUUGGGAAAGAAAAGCAGCAGGUUAAUACCCCGCUGUUCUGACGGUACCCAAAGAAUAAGCACCGGCUAACUUCGUG
rnacentral:rRNA from 1 species